rnacentral:tRNA from 1 species
AGCUCAAGUGGUAGAGUACAUGCUUAGCACGCAUGAGGUCCUGGGUUCAAUCCCCAG